rnacentral:lncRNA from 1 species
GUUUUUUUUGUCUGAAAGCAUAUAGGAAAAUAAAAAAUUUGGACACUAAAACUACGAUUUUAAAGAAUAUAUCCAUCAGGAAUGCUGGACUUUCACAAAUUUUACAGGAAGGGAUGUCAUUCUAAAUUUUCCACAAGAAAAUGCCUUUAAAAAUCGGUUGAUAUCGACAAAAAAUGAAAUUAUAUGACUCGAGGAGUGAGAAGUGCCAUGGCGUCCUUGCUUCAAAUGUGAAUACGAAGAACAAAGACAAAGUUUCAGAAACUAUAAAAAGGUGUUUCCAACGUAAAGUCACAUCGAAAGCAUGUAAACUUUUAGCACUACAUCCUAGGAAUAACGAUGUAUGUUUGAAAAUAUUGUUUGGUUUUUGGUUAACACUAUGUCACUAAGCCUGAAGCCUCGAAUGAUGAAGUUUAAUUUUCGAUUGUUCGAACGUCAAGAACCCUUGUCAGUUUCGGGUGAGUUUCUUACUGUUCAUGUUGUUUUGGCUGUUUGGCAUGGAAGUUGCAGGAUAGUUUGGACUUAGGUUUAUAGAAGGCUAUAUUUUAAACCAAUGUAAAAUUGUUUUUUUUUUUUACUUUUUUAAGUUUAACGCCGGUUCCUUAAUACCACGAAGAGGAAUUGUGUUUUUAAAUUUUUAAAAACAAAUGACUUUACAACAUUCUAUAAAAAGGACAACUACUGUAUAUGGGAAAGGUUGGAUGUUUGGUUUUCUUCAAUAUACAGUAAAACAAAAUGAGUUUUUAGAAUUUAAUGUAGAGUCUAAUAUUUAAUAUACAGUAGUAUCAUAUUAUUUUUCAAUCCUGUAUAAUGAUAUAAUGAUUUAGGUACAAUUACGUACUAAAUAGUAUUAUAGUAAAAUAUAUUUACGAAAACUAAAUGCCUAUUAAUCUGUUUUGUUGUGAAAUUUGUCUUUUAUUUGAACUAUUAAAAAAUUAUGUGUUCCAUGCAAAUGUGUAUUUAAUGUGUAUGAAUACAUAGUUUUUGUGGCGUGUACAUUUAGCUCUGUCGCCUAUGUGGUAUAUGUAUGAAAGGCUGCAAAUGUAAACAAAAUACUUGCAUUUACAGUGAUGUUAUUAAAUAAAAGGUAUAUAAAUAUUAUUUUCAAACUCUGGGCUGAGCACCCAUACUGUAAA